GACCGUGGAGGCCGGGUGCAGCCCCGUCGGCUGCGCGCUCUCUGCAGAAAAGGAUUUUCUAUGCUCCCCGCCCAUCACUUGGAUCUCGUCUGGGGAGGGGCGGAUUUUUUUUCUGGAAGUACCCUUCUUCUUCACGGUGGAGGAUUUAAGGCUGGGCUCCAAUCGAGGCGGAGGCUGCAGGGCCCGCGGGGCGCCCCCCACGCCCGGCGCACGCCUGCCUGGAGCCUGGGAAGGCGCAGCCCCGGCGGGGGGGGCCGUGCACCCCCGGAGGCAGCAGCGGCGAUAAACCUGCCAGUAAUUUCAGCAAAUGAAACGUGGAACGCGUCAAGGCCAGAGGAUGGAAAAGGCUCCGGUUUUGAUAAAAGGAGGCCUGCUUGCCUUGGAAUCCUCUCUCCUGCUGGUUGGAAGAUGCAAAGAUGUUUCCAGAGAGGGGCUGAAGAAUUGAGGGGAAAGAAAUGAGCCCAGUAUGAGUCCCCUUUCAGGGCUGAGCGCAUAUAAAACCAAACAACUUGGAACGGCUCCAAGAGAGGGGAUUAAAGCAACAUGUUAUUCU